rnacentral:rRNA from 1 species
UACGGAGGGUCCAAGCGUUAUCCGGAUUCAUUGGGUUUAAAGGGUCCGUAGGCGGGAAAAUAAGUCAGUGGUGAAAUCCUAUCGCUUAACGAUAGAACUGCCAUUGAAACUGUUUUUCUUGAAUGUAGAUGAAGUGGGCGGAAUGUGUCAUGUAGCGGUGAAAUGCAUAGAUAUGACACAGAACACCGAUUGCGAAGGCAGCUCACUAAACUAUUAUUGACGCUGAUGGACGAAAGCGUGGGGAGCAAACAGG